CAGCUGUGAUUAAAUAGUUUUAGCUGAAGGAAUAUUACAAAUAAAAUUAUCUUUUAACAUAAUCUUAAAACAUGCGGGCUAGUCGAUAAGAACAGGAAAAUUAGCUUUAUUUGGCAUUUAAAGCAAUUUUUAAACAUUUUUUAAACAGCCUGUUUAUCGGUUGAAGAACUGGGCAUCAUGUUUUAUGGACACCUCGUUGAAGAUCUCCACAGAUGGUCUACAAGAAGAAAGGAGUUUUGGAGAUAAUUCUGAGCUCUGAUUUAAUGGAAGCCAAUGGGAGUUUGGGAGUGUACGGUCUGCCCUCUGCAGAGAUUUGAGAGAAGAUUUUAAGUCCUWCAGCAACAAGAGAUACACCGAGUGAAAAAAAUUGCAGCGCGGCAACGGUUG